UACGGAGGGUGCAAGCGUUAUCCGGAUUCACUGGGUUUAAAGGGUGUGUAGGCGGGUAUUUAAGUCAGGGGUGAAAUCUCCAGGCUCAACCUGGAAACUGCCAUUGAUACUAUUUAUCUUGAAUAUCGUUGAGGUUGGCGGAAUAUAUCAUGUAGCGGUGAAAUGCAUAGAUAUGAUAUAGAACACCGAUUGCGAAGGCAGCUAACUAAGCGAUUAUUGACGCUGAGGCACGAAAGCGUGGGGAUCAAACAGG
rnacentral:rRNA from 1 species